AUGGAUAAUAAAUCUAAGUUCACAUAAUAUAUGUAAUAAUCGUAUUACGUGUUGUUUAUACACUUAUUGCUUAUAUGCAUAUAAUUUUUUAUUUAAAUGAUACGUGCCCAUAAAAAAAAUACUAUGAAAUUUAAAUUAAUUAAAUUAAUUGAUGGUAUAAACUCCAGGAGGGGGGAGGGGGGUUGCAGUUUAAUUUUUCGUUUACUACAAUGACGAAAGAUGGUGUAUAUUCAUAGAUUGAAUAUUCGAGUUUUUUCUCACGUAUUCCGCGUUUGGUGAUUUGUUGGUUACCGGGCGGUGAGUGAAUAUUUUCGACCUACAAUCCGUCUGAAUCUGUAGCUCGACAUCACCAUAGCCAAGAAGACGAAGGUGAUGGUGGCAUUAUCGGAUCCAUCCACAGAGACGGCUGCGUUUGUUUGACGGGAGCCGAUGAAGAAUCCGACGCGGACGACGAUGACUUGAUGAACUCGUCGAGUUUCGCCUGACCGUUUGAUGGUCCGGAAAAAAAUAUAAAAAAAAUAAUUAUAAAUUAAUCAUUUAUAUUAUUAUCAAAUCAACAUCAUCAAGAGAAGUCGUAUA